CUCACCAACAGAAAAUAUUGAUGAUUUCCUCCCACCGCCUCCUGAUCUUGAUUGUGCAAUAACAGAUACAUGUUGGCCCAAAGUAAAUGGGUCUCAGUUGUCCAGCUACAUAUCUGCAGAUGAUUUUUUGCCACCACCCCCUGCCAUUGGGUAUGAAAUAACAGAUUCCUAUUGGUCACCUGGAAAUGCUCCUGAUGUCCCAGCAUGGCCUCCUUCCCUGGAUGAACUCCCGCCUCCUCCAGACUGCUAGACGCAGCGAUAUCUCAGAAUUACCACGGGAGGGGGGCGCAGAGGGCAGGCGGCAUUCUCCUUUCUCUUUUUUCCUGCACCAAGCACAUUUCAAGACUUUGAAGUUUUCCCGACUACAAUGGAAAUAGAAAAAUGAUGAACUGGCAGA